rnacentral:lncRNA from 1 species
GUUCAACAUGCCAAGGUGCCAUACUUUUGUAUGGCAUGUGCUGAAUCCCAUCAUUCGAUUAGUAGAAGCAAGGAAUUCAAGAUGAAAAGUUAUCUCAAGGACCAAAGCUAUUUGAAUCACAACUGGAAACUACCGAGGGAUUGUUCCUUCUCUGGGCUCCAGUGAAAGGCAGUGGUCAUCCUUGUCAUUCAAGAACAAGAGGGGACAACAGAGUGCCAAAAACAAGUGCUGCUUUUGGUGGAGAACAAAACUUCUGGUUUAAAAGAAGAUAAUAGAACAAUUAAGCUAUUUUUUUUACUUACAUUGACCAGCUUGACAAGCAAAGAUCUUUUCUAGGAUGAAAAAAUGUGUCUUUGUUUUCACUUGUGUUAG